rnacentral:rRNA from 1 species
UACGUAGGGGCAAGCGUUGUCCGGAUUUAUUGGGCGUAAAGAGCGUGUAGGCGGCCACACAGGUCUGCUGUGAAAACUCGAGGCUCAACCUCGAGCUAUCGGUGGAAACCGUGUGGCUAGAGUCCGGAAGAGGAGAGUGGAAUUCCUGGUGUAGCGGUGAAAUGCGCAGAUAUCAGGAAGAACACCCGUGGCGAAGGCGGCUCUCUGGGACGGUACUGACGCUGAGACGCGAAAGCGUGGGGAGCGAACAGG